rfam:Camelus ferus unplaced genomic scaffold scaffold707, whole genome shotgun sequence.
GGAGGGGACAGCUCUGUGGUAGAGCGCGUGCUUCGCAUGCACAAGGUCCCGGGUUCCAUCCCCAACACCUCCA